rnacentral:rRNA from 1 species
ACAACUUUCAACAACGGAUCUCUUGGCUCUCGCAUCGAUGAAGAACGCAGCGAAAUGCGAUAAGUAAUGUGAAUUGCAGAAAUCAGUGAAUCAUCGAAUGUUUGAACGCAUCUUGCGCUCCUUGGUAAUUUUACCUUGGAGCAUGCCUGUUUGAGUGUCAUUAA